rnacentral:rRNA from 1 species
AGUGAAUAGAUACCCUGGUAGUCCACGCCCUAAACGAUGUCAACUAACUGUUCGAAGUCACUAAAGAUUUUGAGUAGUGAAAGCUAACGCGAUAAGUUGACCGCCUGGGGAGUACGGCCGCAAGGUCGAAACUCAAAGAAAUUGACGGGGGCCCGCACAAGCGGUGGAGUAUGUGGUUUAAUUCGAUGCAACGCGAAGAACCUUACCCGGUCUUGACAUGGUAGGAAUCUUGUAGAGAUACGAGAGUGCCUUCGGGAACCUACACACAGGUGCUGCACGGCUGUCGUCAGCUCGUGUCGUGAGAUGUUGGGUUAAGUCCCGCAACGAGCGCAACCCUUGCCCUUAGUUACCAUCAUUUAGUCGGGGACUCUAAGGGGACUGCCGGUGAUAAACCGGAGGAAGGUGGGGACGACGUCAAGUCAUCAUGGCCCUUAUGACCGGGGCUACACACGUACUACAAUGGUCGGUACAGACGGUCGCAAGCUCGCGAGAGUAAGCUAAUCCGAGAAAAACCGAUCGUAGUCCGGAUCGCAGUCUGCAACUCGACUGC